AUACUUUAUUCAACUGCCUAGAAGUUGACAAUGGAAAAUUAUAGGUAGCAAAAUUGCAGAUAACAGAAUACAGACCAUUACAAAUGUAAUAAUUUCUAUAUAUUGUGAUUCCAAAGGUCCUAUAUAAAGUCUAAAAUGAUAUAUGUUGACAACAUAAGUAUUAAUAAUAGUCCUCUGCAUAAUCAAAUGCUGAGCAUGUCACUGUCAACAUUUAUAAUUUCAUCUGACUUCAAAACACCCAACACAAAAACUAUUUAUAUUAAAAAGAAGCUAUUUCCAUCUCAAUCACCAGCUAAA